CAUUGUUUUCCCCCUCCCACAGCUCCCACAAGAAUAGAACACAAAAAAAAAGUAACAAAGCAAAUAAAGAAAAUCAUCUUCCUUCUCUAUUAUUUCUAUAAUUAAUGUUUUAUAAAAUAGACAAGGAUCCAUAUGCCAAACAGAUAGAUAUUCAGAAAACGAGCACACUCAUGUAGAGAGGGGAAUAAAAAAAUUCCGAAGAUGUGGAAUCAGGGCAAUUUGUUAUGGAGAAAGCAUGCAUAAUCAAUCAAGCAGGUCAAUUUAUAGCCGAUGAUAAUAUAAAGAGUGGUGCACGGAAUGAAUCAAAGUCUCCCUGGGCCCAUUGAGCUAGGCCACUUAUGGGUCAGAGCCUGGUUUGAGUCUUUUGGGCGGGUAACUAUAUGAGUUCAGACUAUGUUCGCUGAGCUUGACUCAAAUCAACCCAGAGCAGAAAUAAAGUCACCCCUAAUUCCAAGGUUAUCUCAAUCAGGCCUUGCUCAACUAUAGGUCCUUCCUUGUCCACGAUCAUUGUCCAUCAAGUAGCACCUUAAGCAUUCAUUUCCUACCCUUUCCCUGAGUUCAUUUCCUUGUCGAUAGCUCCUUGAUCAAACAUGACCAUGAGUGGGACAAUUCCAUGGAGGAUGAGUCAUUGCCAUAGCUGGCGAUGGUCACAGAGGGUCACAAACUUCUCAAGAUGUCUAAAAGAGCAUCCGAUAAAGAGCCUAGGCAGCAAGGCGGGUGCCCAUGUGGUGAUGUCGCAGCCAACUUGAAGCUUUCUCUUCUUUUUUUUUUCUUUUUUGUCCCCUCCUCCUCUUUAUGAUGAUUGAUUACUGGCUCUUCUUCUUUCCUUUUUCACUUAUUUUGCAAAAGAAAAAGGAAUAACAAUGGAGAAACCUAGACGAAAAGUGGAUGAAACCAUUGUCUCAUACACAUACCCCCUCCUCCUAUACCAGAUGCAUAAUACCUUAAGAGUCUACUAUUAUUUGCCCUCAGAGAAGUAUUCCAUUAGUAUUAACAGAAUCACACCUUGUCCUGUGUGUACAUGGCAUGUGAGGGCACAGAAAACCAUAAACGCUCUUCUCAAGAGCCAACACACCUUAUUCUUAAGCCAAGCCUGUGAAUCAAGGUGAGAUAAGAGAGUUUGAGGAAUUUUUAUAUAUUUGGAACAGUGGAUCUAACUAUGACAUGCAAGAACUAAGCUAGGAAGCUGAAUGACUAGCAAUUUUACCUAAAGAGGAUAAUGUUAGUAUAAACAAAAGAAAAAAUGCCAUCCAUCAAUUAUGUCGGACUCCAACACACAAAUUAUAAGCCAAAAAGACAAACUUGUCAUAGUAUUUAAGCCAUGAGAGGUUCUUCUGUAAGGAAGAAGAUCACGGCACCCUUGUCCAACAUAAAGCAGCUCUAGUUAUACACUACUGAAAUAACUGAUGCAUUGAUCUCAACGAAAUCCAGAUCUUGACAUCACUUACCAAAAUUUGUCAUUUUGGUGUCAAUCAUCCAAACAUGUUUUCUUUGAUUCCUGGUCACACCGAAACCAGUUUAAUGAUGCACAUGUUUCAUUCAUUUCGAAAAAGAUAAUAUACCACAAGUUUCAUACCCCAUUUUUAGGUGGUUUAGCCCAUCUUUAGCAAAUACGGUUUCACUUUUUGUCCUCCAUUAAGAAAAAUAUGCAAGAUAAAUUUCUCUCAUCCAGUGCAUGCUUGGCAUUCUCACAAUGGAUCAGUGUUGCAUCCUACAUUUUCAGCUUUCUUAAAGGUUCUUCAGGUCAUAACUUCCAUUUUUUUUUCCAGUCAACAUUGACUUUCAAUCAGUGGAAUUCUCAAUCAUUUUUUGUUCAAACAAAGAAACUAAAUCACAAAUCAUUCGCCUUUUCGUUGAAGUUUUAGAUUUUGAUAAUUAGCAUUCUUGAAUUCACUUAAUCGUACCUUCUAAUUUGACAUAUUUUGAAGAUGCACCUUAACGGACAAAUCAUAAUAAGACAAAAGACUACAAUAAGAAGCCAAUGAUGUUUCAAUCAUCUGCCUGUAGAAGAUUCUAAUUGGUGAAGCAUAGCUAAUGUCAUUGUUUCCAGCAUUAUUCAAAUAAUGUCCUAUGAACUGGUUUUGUCCCAAGUUUCGGCUCACAACUACCUAGCCCAUAGCCUGCUAACAAUGACAAUAUAAGUUUAGCUAAAACACAGACAAAUUAUUUCUCCUUGGAACAAAUUAUAUCCUCUCAAAUAGGAGUAUCUCCAGACAACUCCCAACCCUAAAACUUUAAGAAGUGAUUCACUAGUCCUAAUCCUGAAAAAGAGGAAGGUGCAUGCCUCAUGCACUUGCUCAGCCCCAGAUUGUCCUGUAAUCAAACCCAGCCUGCAGCCUACUCAUACAAAAAUCCAUACCUGACCACAAUAUAGGCCAACUUAACGGAAGAACACAACUAAUAACAGAGCAGAAGAGAGAGAUGCAUACACUUGUUUCUUACAAAAUUUUGUAUUUUCACAAAAUAUUGCUUCAGCCAACAACUUAGGUAUCAAUUCUCGGUACUACUGCGUUUAGGUAUGUAAACCAUUUAGGAAUCCGACAUUUACCCAACAAUGUGGGUGGUCUCUCUUUCCAUGCACCACCAUACUAUCAAUAACACAUUUUGACACUUAGACAUCAAGCAACAACCUCAGAAUUUAAAAUAGAAGAUGCAACUCAGAUUACUGCAAAACCACACUCUACUGUUAAACUCCACUGUAACAUGGAAGAGUGACACCAGAAAUUUAGCAUUCAUGCAUGUUGUUAGGAACAAAAUCAAUCAUGACUCUGAUCUUCUCAAUCUAAUUCUUCCUCGGACCACAUUAAAAAUCCUAGUCUACCUUAGCCAAGACCAAUUGUCUGCAAUAUAAUAACUAGUACAAUCUUAACAUCAACCUAGUUGCACCGCAUAAAUCUACCCCUCAAAACCCCUCCUGAAUACAGUAUAUAUGAAUGACAAAGUGUGAACGUUGAUCUGGGUAAUUAUCUACACACUGUAUUUAAUUUUAAGGCAUUGGGAAAACAUGAAAUAAAUAUGGUGGAUGGUGCAAAUAUUAGUCUAAUUUUAAGAUCCUUAGGUUCUUCUCAGUAAGUGUUCAGCACGAGCUUAAAAUCUUAGAUCUAUAGUUCUUGAACCCCAACUAGUAAUAGAUUUCCCCGGCUCUCAAGAUCAUGACGUAACAUAUACUUAGGCCCUUAUUCUUUUCACCAGAUUGGACACAAGAUUCAAAGAAACAAACAACGUUAUACAGAUUCACAAACUGGGAGAAUAGUUCCAACCAUUGACUUUCGGAGGCUCAAAUUUGUUGACAAUAGAUAUGUAGUAGCAUCUUAACUAAAUGAUCAAUUUACCCAGCCAGAAAAGCCAAGUUGAAACAGAGAAAAGACUCAAGGUGGUCCAUCGUUCACAAGACCCUUAGGUUCUUCUGUCAAAUGUUCAGCACCAGCCUAAACUCCUGGAUCUAUAGUUCUUGAAUCGCAUUCAACGAUAGAUUUCCCCAUUUCUCAAGAUCAUGACAUACCAUAUGGUUAGACCCAUAUUCCUUGAUCAGAUUGGCACAGAAGAAUCAAGAAACUACACGAAUCGAUUUAAAAAAAAAAGCGUCGUACAGAUUUAUAAACUGGGAAUACAUCGUCAUGGCAGAAGAGAAUAAACUCCAAGAAAUAACAAGAACCAAGAAUAUGACCACAUAGCAUGGAAGAUUGGGUACCUCGUCCAGGUGUCCGGAUCGACCCAUUGGCGAUGGGGAGCCGCAUGGUGGGGGGAGAAACCCGAGACAUCUGCCUGCGAGAGAACCGACAUCCCCCCGCCCCCUUGCGCGGCAAGACCAGUGGAUCCGCGGUGGCGAUCGUACCCGGUUUCGCCCGCUCCUUCUUGGAUCCAAGGACGUCCGCAGAACUGCGAUCGAGGGAACUCGAAAGAGGGUUUCGAUCGAACAAACUUGGGUGGAUCGGAAAGCAACGAGGAGGGAAAAGGGAUGCAAACCGUUUAAAUCGUGACGACGCUAAUCUUUUUCCCUUCGAAUCCUCGUUUCUUUGCGUACGGAAAC
rnacentral:lncRNA from 1 species